rnacentral:rRNA from 1 species
AGUGAACGCUGGCGGUAGGUCUAACACAUGCAAGUCGAACGGCAGCACAGUAAGAGCUUGCUCUUACGGGUGGCGAGUGGCGGACGGGUGAGGAAUACAUCGGAAUCUACUUUUUCGUGGGGGAUAACGUAGGGAAACUUACGCUAAUACCGCAUACGACCUACGGGUGAAAGCAGGGGAUCUUCGGACCUUGCGCGAUUGAAUGAGCCGAUGUCGGAUUAGCUAGUUGGUGGGGUAAAGGCCCACCAAGGCGACGAUCCGUAGCUGGUCUGAGAGGAUGAUCAGCCACACUGGAACUGAGACACGGUCCAGACUCCUACGGGAGGCAGCAGUGGGGAAUAUUGGACAAUGGGCGCAAGCCUGAUCCAGCCAUACCGCGUGGGUGAAGAAGGCCUUCGGGUUGUAAAGCCCUUUUGUUGGGAAAGAAAAGCAGCAGGUUAAUACCCCGCUGUUCUGACGGUACCCAAAGAAUAAGCACCGGCUAACUUCGUG